rnacentral:lncRNA from 1 species
CCUAAUACAUUGGUAGUAGAAAAAUAGAUGAUGCGAUUGGAGAAGAUAUUUGAUGUACGAAAUUGUUCUGAUGAUCAAAAGAAUUUUUGGAGAUCAAGGACAGGAAUAAAAAGGAUAAGUUUACCAAAAAAAAAAAAGAUUAGAAAUGAAUCUGAAUGUGAUAAUAAGAGGGUCAAGAUAUCAUCGAUUUGAAAAGGGAAGUCACCACAAAAGAUU